rnacentral:rRNA from 1 species
UACGGAGGGGGCUAGCGUUAUUCGGAAUUAUUGGGCGUAAAGGGCGCGUAGGCGGCCCGGUAAGUCAAAGGUGAAAUCCCUCGGCUCAACUGAGGAACUGCCUUUGAAACUGUCGGGCUUGAGGCCGGGAGGGGGUAGCGGAAUUCCCAGUGUAGCGGUGAAAUGCGUAGAUAUUGGGAAGAACACCGGUGGCGAAGGCGGCUCACUGGCUCGUAUCUGACGCUCAGGCGCGACAGCGUGGGGAUCAAACAGG